UGGCGGCAAAAAGUCUAGCACCGGCCUUGAAAGUGACACAACUUACGUUACGGCAAAUUCAGAGGAAAAAUAAUACAAUAAAAACAUUUUUUCAGUAAAGAUUUGAUGGUAAGAAGGAAAGAGAAAUGGCUGUCCAACAUCCACUAUCACUGCAGCAAUGGGCAAAGGACACAGUGGACAGACAACCACAUAGACACGGCGGAGGGUGCGGAGGCCAUGCUGAGACAAUGAAGGACGUGUGCGCACACAGGACACCGCCUCAGGCCCAGUCUCCAGGCUGCCACGGCCUUUCCCGGCACCACAGGCCGCUGGGCUCACUCGGGAGGACGCCUGGAGGGGUGUAGUGGCUCCAGCACAGGGGGGUCCGUGGGGACCUGGACGCUGCCCCAGGCAAACAAGGCCGACAGAAGCGGGAAGGACAGACUGCGGUCGGUCAGCGGUGCUGUCCAGCAGGGGAGCGUCCUGGGUGGCCCAACUGGACGCCCAUCAUGCCGAGGUGCCUCUGCUGCCUGCCCCGUGACCAGCCCAGAAUCUGAAACCCCUGCCUCCUGGGGAAUAGCCACGCCCUCCCUCCAUCGCGUAAGAACCAGGAGUACAACGUUACUCACCCAGGAGGUGCACCUGGGUCAGAGGAAACUGGCAGAAAUUUCUGUAGAAACUUUAUUGCCCAUAAAUUGGGCGAAGAAAUAAAUUUGCCAAAAGCAUUCUGCUACCUACAGACCCAAAGGAAAAGGAAAAUUGUUUUAUGGGAGUGCAUAGUUUUUUGAAGUGAAUGGCUCUGUUCAUUAAAAUGGCCAAGUUC